rnacentral:rRNA from 1 species
AGGACGAACGCUGGCGGCGCGCCUAACACAUGCAAGUCGAGCGAUAACCAGGGCUUGCCCUGGGGACAGCGGCGAACGGGUGCGUAACACGUGAGCAACCUGCCCCAAAGACCGGGACAACCCGAGGAAACUCGGACUAAUACCGGAUGCCCUCACCGGGUCGCAUGGUCUGGUGAGGAAAUGGAUUCCGCUUUGGGAUGGGCUCGCGGUCUAUCAGCUUGUUGGUGGGGUAACGCCUACCAAGGCGACGACGGAUAGCUGGUCUGAGAGGACGAUCAGCCACACUGGGACUGAGACACGGCCCAGACUCCUACGGGAGGCAGCAGUGGGGAAUCUUGCGCAAUGGGGGAAACCCUGACGCAGCGACGCCGCGUGCGGGAUGAAGGCCUUCGGGUUGUAAACCGCUUUCAGCAGGGACGAAAUUGACGGUACCUGCAGAAGAAGGCCCGGCUAACUACGUGCCAGCAGCCGC